GUGUCAGCAGCCGCGGUAAUACGUAGGGGGCAAGCGUUGUCCGGAAUUAUUGGGCGUAAAGCGCGCGCAGGCGGCUUUUUAAGUCUGGUGUAUAAGUGCGGGGCUCAACCCCGUGAGGCACUGGAAACUGGAGAGCUGGAGUGCAGAAGAGGAGAGCGGAAUUCCACGUGUAGCGGUGAAAUGCGUAGAGAUGUGGAGGAACACCAGUGGCGAAGGCGGCUCUCUGGACUGUAACUGACGCUGAGGCGCGAAAGCGUGGGGAGCAAACAGGAUUAGAUACCCUGGUAGUCC
rnacentral:rRNA from 1 species